AUUGAACGCUGGCGGCAUGCCUAACACAUGCAAGUCGAACGAGUAGCGGACGGGUGAGUACUUUCUUGGAACCUGCCUAAUGUAGGGGUAUAACUACUAUAACCGGUAGCUAAUACCGCAUACCAUCAUUUGUGCCCAGAUGGGAUUAUCUUGUUGGGGGGGUAACGGCUCACCAAGGCGACGCUCCCUAGCUGGUCUGAGAGGAUGACCAGCCACACUGGAACUGAGACACGGUCCAGACUCCUACGGGAGGCAGCAGUGGGGAAUAUUGCACAAUGGGCGCAAGCCUGAUGCAGCAAUGCCGCGUGUAUGAAGAAGGCCUUCGGGUUGUAAAGUACUUUCAGCGGGGAGGCGUUACCCGCAGAAGAAGCACCGGCUAACUCCGUGCCAGCAGCCGCGGUAAUUC
rnacentral:rRNA from 1 species